rnacentral:misc_RNA from 1 species
GUCUUUAUCUAUGGUUGAAACUUGUCAGACUUGCACUUUUUUCUCUGUAGCCGACGGUACUGACUGACAGAAAUCUUGUCAAAGUCCAAAUUUGAAACGAACAUCACAACCCAUUUAUUACGCAAAAUUCACUAGGAAAAAAUGGAUCUUUUCCGAAAACUCUUUGGAUUGCCGCCCCAGCCUUACAACUCUCCUAACUUUGACCAAGAAAACACCUCUAUUAAACCCCCGGAGAAUGGAAGAAACUUUAACAUUUUCACCGAUCCGUUAGAGAUGCAUCGCUACUUAGAGCAGCAGAUGGACAUGCUCGCCACAAGCUUUGGUAUGCUGAACUUUGGCCACCUUUUCGGUGCCCUGGAAAAGUUCCAUGGGGAUGAUCCUUAUCAAGAGGAAGGAUUUUCUCCAAAUUCCAGGGAUAGUUUCCUGAAUACAGACUAUGAGAGUCCGAGCUAUGAGUAUCCCUCUAACUCAGGCAAAGCAGACAAGGACCUUGAUGGGAAGUUGAACUUAACUGAGCUGGAUGCACUAUUCAAUAAACCAGACCAAAAAGAGGCUGGCAUUGCAGGUGGAAACCCAUUCGGGAAGUCUUCAGGUACCUUUAAGAAAUCCGUCGAAGUCCGGACUGUUCUAAGCCCGGAUGGCUCCUACAAACUCCAAAAAAUUGUAAUCGAUAGUGAGGGAAAUAAGGAAACCACUGUAACUAAGAUAAUCGACGACAAAGAGUAUACGACUGUCAGGAGGCAGUACAUGGAUCAUUAAUAAUGGACCUGAAGAGGACAGGCAUGGAACAAUUCUUUUUAAGUCCCUUUUUGAAUAAAUCAAGCUAGACUAGAAGAGCGUUUGCAUCUCAUGUGUGUAUUGCACAGCUUAUAUUUACAUAUAUAAUACUUCUAGAGUCACUAUUUACAUUUCUACACACAUCUAGUGAUAAUAGUUUAUUUAUAAAACAAAUUUUUCAAUCUACCAGGUUGACAACUUUGGUUUUAAUAUAGGCCUUGUAAAUAUAGGUUUGGAAUGUGAAUAUAAUUUACUGUUAACAUCGACGAACAAUAAUAAUAUUUAUAUAAUACAA